UUUACAAAUACAUCAUUUAAUAAAAUAAAUAAUUAAAAACUGAAAAUUCAUAUCCGCGCGGAUCGGGAUCUAGUUCUAUUUAAUAACGCAAGCCAUUUGUGUUGAAAUUUUGUUAAUGGGCUUGUCGAUUAGUUUUGGUAUAUGACGUGAUAGGCUUUGUCUUAAUAUUAAUGAAUGUGUGUGUAUUUUUAAAAAUAGCGGCAGAGAUUGUAAAUAUAUAGAUUAAGUGAGAGUUAUUUUCUAUUUGUACUUCAUUUUUAAUAAGACAGAUAGAUAUAUAGAAAACAUCUUACCUAUUAAAACAUUAUAUAAAUUAUAUAUAUGGGCCUAAAAAGGAUAUAAGUCAAAUGAGUUAGACUCUAAUCUUUCAAUUAUCUUAAGGCAAAACUAAAAAGGUAAUAUAAUAGGUGGUCGAUUAAUUGUGGGGUUUACUCACUAAAUAUUCAUUUAAACGUGAUCCUAUUUAUUGGUGGUCGAUUAAUUGUAGUGUUUAUUCACAUAAUAUUCAUCUAAACAAUUGCAAUCUAAAUUUUUUGCUCACAGAAUAUUGCAAAUCUUAAAUCAAUUGCUAUAGGGUGUAAAGGUUAGUACUGAUACCACGUGUGUUAGUUUAGGGUGAUCACCGUAUUAAUAUUUAGAUGUUUAGUGGAUUUUAAUUUAUGUUUGUCACGAAGAACCUACAAUGUUAAUUUAUUAUUUGUGAGUACAAUGGUUAUAAUAUAUUUCGACAGAUUUUAUUGUUUAUUUACAACCAUAUUGUUAAGGUUUUGGACCUUUUGGUAUAUAUAUAUAUAUUUUGUCAACAGGUUUUGGUAUAUAAUCUUCCAUUUCAAAAUAAAUAUUUAUUCUAUAUUUUAUGGAAUCUGUCUAUAGCAUGGUUAGGAGGAAAUAAUAUAGUUUGUUUAUAACAAUUCAUCUAAGCAAAUUUUAUAGAAGUUGGUCUAAAAAAAACCACUCACGAAAAAAGUCACGAAUUAUGUUUUAAAUUUUUAAUUGAUAAGAUGCUAUCCUUUCAAGGUUUUACCCAAAUGUUUUACAACUAACUUUUAUAAUACAAGUAAACUUGUUUCCACUAAUUAAUACAACAAAUAUUUACUUUUUUUUAGUGUAUUUGUAGCUUUGAAUACAAGGAUUCAUCAUUUUUAUUCUGGUAUGUAAGCAUUUCGAAGGUGGCUUAAAAGGAAAUGCGGUAAUUGUUUGACCCAAAAACGGUGUAUUUGCUGGUGAUGUUUGUUGGAAUCAUAUAAUAAAGAAUCUAAAGUUAAGUAUUAGAUUCUUGAGGUUUAGGAGAAAUCUUCAUAGAAUCAAUAUGAGAAAAAGAACAUCCAAAGCUCUUUAUUGAUCAAAGAUUGCAUUACAAGAAUGAUUUCUACUGUAAAGUGAAUCAAAGAAUGUAUAAAAUCCUUAUAGGAUGUGUUCUAGAUCUAGAUGGAAAAAAUAGUCAUUUCUAAUAAGGAGAUAACUUAUUAUUUAUAGAAGAAAGAUAUCUAGGGUUUCCUAACAAAUUUGGCCUAAUUCAUUGUUUUAAUGGGUUUUGAGAGAUGAUGUAAAUACGAGAGUCUACAACUCCAUGUGGUUUGCCCAUUUCUACUUCGAUUACGGGCUACUUAUUGAGUGACAGUUUCAAGAACCGGCCCUCAAAUGGUUUUACAAGCCCAGAUGUAGUGGCGUUGUGCCCAGAUAACAAGCAGGCUAUGUACUGCCAUCUUCUUUGUGGUCUUUGCCUGAGUGACGAAGUUGUGAAUGUGUCUGCUACCUUUGCUUCCUCUUUGCUUGGUGCAAUCACUUUUCUUGAAAGUCACUGGAAAGAAAUGUGUAGCAAUAUCGAUCUGGUCAUCUUAGCGAGUGGAUCACCGACCUUGGUUGCAGAGACGCUGUUACUAACAUCCUAAGAGGAUGUAACUCAGAAUUAGCAGAUCGGAUUGAAGAAGAAUGCAACAAAAAAUCUUGGGAAGGUAUAAUCACACGUCUUUGGCCUAAAGUAAAAUUCAUUCAAAGCAUUGUUACACGACAAAAUUCUCAAUGCAUUCCAAUGUUAGAGUUUUACUCCAACAAAGUGCCUUUGAUCUCCACGGUCUAUGGAUCUUCUGAAACAAUAUUUGGUAUAAAUAUGAAUCCCUUCUGCAAACCACAAGAUAUAUCUUAUACUUGUAUUCCCACCAUAUCUUACUUUGAGUUCAUACUUGCUGACGAGGGAAACAAAGGUGAAAUUGUUGAUCUUGUGAAUGUCAAGAUUGGGUCCUACUAUGAGCCCGUGAUCACAAAUUAUUACGGCUUGCACAGAUAUAGAAUGGGAGAUAUUCUACAAGUAUCUGGAUUUUACAACAGUGCACCUCAAUUUAGGUUCGUUCGCAGGAAAAGUAUGGUUCUAAGCGUCAACCUCGAAGUGACAACUGAAGAAGCAUUUUAAAGGGGUUAAAUAAUGCAACACUUGUUCUUAAGAAUUCAGAUUUAGGAUUGAUGGGAUUCACAUGCUAUGCUGAUAUCUCCACUCUUCCAGGUCACUACAUUUUUUACUGGGAACUCAAAGCCAAAACCAUCAGUGAUAUUGUUAAACUUGAUAACAAAGUAUUGGUGGAAUGUUGUUGUGUAAUGGAGGAAUCAUUAUGUGCUCUUUAUCGAGAGAUGAGGAGUAAAGAUGGGUCUAUAGGAGCUCUAGAGAUUAGGGUUGUGAAACAGAGAACAUUUAAUUCGCUUAUGGAGCUUGCCAUCUCUCAAGGUGCCAUCUCGCUUCCCCAUCUCAGUACAAGACUCCUAUUUGCAUCAACUCUUCUGAAGCCUUAGCUGUUCUUGAAAGCAAUGUCCUAGCUUGCUUUUUCAGUGGUAAGUCCCCAACUAAUCUCUGAUCAGAUAUGGUCUAUGUGGAUUAUGAUAACCCACGAAAACAAUUGGAUCAUAUAGUUAAGAAUAAUGAAGGGACAAAGCUGUUUGAUGAGAUGAGUUUUGUGUUUAUUAAGUGUGUGGUUUGUGUACUGUCUUCCUUUAAAUCACUAGGGUACCUGUUGUUUCGCGCCAGUUUGUUUGCAGUUCGUAUUCUACGUAUUUGGGUUGGUUGCCAUUUGUAUACUACAUAUUUCGUUUGUUUGAAAUUUGUAUUCUAUGUAUUUGUUUUGAGAGUAUUUAAGAUUGAAGACUUCACAAUU